GACGAACGCUGGCGGCGUGCUUAACACAUGCAAGUCGAACGGUGAAGGGACUGGUUUUGCUGGUCCUGGAUGAGUGGCGAACGGGUGAGUAACACGUGAGUAACCUGCCCCCUUCUUCUGGAUAACCGCAUGAAAGUGUGGCUAAUACGGGAUAUUCUGGGUCUGUCGCAUGGUGGGCCUGGGAAAGAUUGCGCCUUUUUUGUUGUUUUUGGUGGGGGAUGGGCUCGCGGCCUAUCAGCUUGUUGGUGGGGGGAUGGCCUACCAAGGCGGUGACGGGUAGCCGGCCUGAGAGGGUGGACGGGCACACUGGGACUGAGACGCGGCCCAGACUCAUACGGGAGGCAGGAGUGGAGAAUAUUGCACAAGGGGCGCAAGCCAGAUGCAGCGACGCCGCGUGAGGGAUGGAGGCCGUCGGGGUGAGAACCUCUUUCGCCAGUGAAGCAGGCCUGCCUCUUUUUGUGGGUGGGUUGACGGUAGCUGGAUAAGAAGCGCCGGCUAACUACGUG
rnacentral:rRNA from 1 species